GGGGGUAUAGCUCAGUGGUACAGCGAUUGACUGCAGAUCAAGAGGUCUCCAGUUCAAAUCUGGGUGCCCCCU
rnacentral:tRNA from 1 species